CCCUUAGAUGUUCUGGGCCGCACGCGCGCUACACUGAUGCAUUCAACGAGUUUCUUCCUGGUCCGAGAGGAAUGGGUAACCUUUUGAAAGUGCAUCGUGAUAGGGAUAGACUAUUGCAAUUAUUGGUCUUCAACGAGGAAUUCCUAGUAGACGUAGUUCAUCAGACUGCAUCUAUUACGUCCCUGCCCUUUGUACACACCGCCCGUCGCUCCUACCGAUUGAAUGCUCAGGUGAGCCAUUCGGACUUUCAUCAUGCUGGUUUCCAGUUUUGAUGAAGGAAAGUCUUGCGAACCUUAUCAUUUAGAGGAAGGAGAAGUCGUAACA
rnacentral:rRNA from 1 species